GAUGAACGCUGGCGGCGUGCCUAAUACAUGCAAGUCGAGCGAACGGACGAGAAGCUUGCUUUUCUGAUGUUAGCGGCGGACGGGUGAGUAACACGUGGAUAACCUACCUAUAAGACUGGGAUAACUUCGGGAAACCGGAGCUAAUACCGGAUAAUAUUUUGAACCGCAUGGUUCAAAAGUGAAAGACGGUCUUGCUGUCACUUAUAGAUGGAUCCGCGCUGCAUUAGCUAGUUGGUAAGGUAGCGGCUUACCAAGGCAACGAUGCAUAGCCGACCUGAGAGGGUGAUCGGCCACACUGGAACUGAGACACGGCCCAGACUCCUACGGGAGGCAGCAGUAGGGAAUCUUCCGCAAUGGGCGAAAGCCUGACGGAGCAACGCCGCGUGAGUGAUGAAGGUCUUCGGAUCGUAAAACUCUGUUAUUAGGGAAGAACAUAUGUGUAAGUAACUGUGCACAUCUUGACGGUACCUAAUCAGAAAGCCACGGCUAACUACGUG
rnacentral:rRNA from 1 species